GCCGGGUGUGGUGGCGUGCGCCUGUAAUCCCAGCUACUCAGGAGGCUGAGGUGGGAGAAUUGCUUGAACCCAGGAGGUGGAGGCUGCAGUGAGCCAAGAUCUCGCCACUGUAAUCCAGCCUGGGUGACAGAGCGAGCUUCUGUCUUAA
rfam:Pan troglodytes isolate Yerkes chimp pedigree #C0471 (Clint) chromosome 8, whole genome shotgun sequence.